GGAACUGAAAACAGCAGAAACAGUGAGGGAAUGUCCCAUGUGAAGGUGAAGCUUCAUGACUCUGCUACUCUGUCCUGCUCUGAGAGAUGUUCUGGUUUAGCGAGAUGGACUGUGUUCCAUAAACCCAGAGAUGCUCUGGCUGAAUGUGAUCAGACUUCAUGUAGAUCAGUGAAGGAGGGAUAUCAGAUGAUCCAUGAUCAGUACCUGAAGGGGAAUCUCUCUCUCAGCAUCACUGACACUGAUUUCAGCAAGAGAACCUUAUACACGUGUGACUGUGAUGGUAAAGAUCUCUGUGACGUGGCCCUGAAGAUUGAAAGUAAGUGUCUGUCUGUUUCCUU
ensembl:lncRNA